rnacentral:lncRNA from 1 species
UUAUGAAACCAAAUACCACAAUUUAUAGAGUUGAUUGGUGUUAAUUUUUUGUACAGUGGUGGUUGAUGAAUUAAAUUGGUAGUUGAUAUUGGCAGUUGGAGUUUAUUACUGCAGAUUUUGUGGUUGAAAGGGAUGGGGUGUGGAAUUUUUAUUAUUCUUUAUGUUUACCCAAUUUGUUAAAUUGUAAUUUUGGUUUCUCAAUUUUGAAUAUGCAAAGUUGAAAUCUAGCAAAUUUUGCCUUUUUCCAUUUUGCUGUUGGAGAUGUGAUUUUGGGUUGAAAUUG